AACCAAAGCGUUGAGCCUAGUUCAGGGCUGCUUCCCUGUUCUGGUAAUAAGACUUUGGGACAUUAAGACAAGGUCUGGGAGAGAUGAUUGGAUAGAAGGUAUGUCUCUAUUCAUUUCCCUCCCAACCUACAAAA
rnacentral:snoRNA from 1 species